rnacentral:tRNA from 1 species
AGGUCGGGCUUCAAAUCCGUGGUCAGCGGAA